UCCCUGGUGGCUCAGAUGGUAAAGCAUCUGCCUGCAACACAGAAGACCUGGGUUUGAUCCCUGGGUCGGGAA
rnacentral:tRNA from 1 species